rnacentral:rRNA from 1 species
ACGGUUCACGCCGCGUGAGGGAUGAAGGCCUCUGGGCUGUAAACCUCUUUUAUCAAGGAAGAAGAUCUGACGGUACUUGAUGAAUAAGCCACGGCUAAUUCCGUGCCAGCAGCCGCGGUAAUACGGGAGUGGCAAGCGUUAUCCGGAAUUAUUGGGCGUAAAGCGUCCGCAGGCGGUCUUUUAAGUCUGUCGUCAAAGCGUGGAGCUUAACUCCAUUUCUGCGAUGGAAACUGGAAGACUAGAGUGUGGUAGGGGCAGAGGGAAUUCCCGGUGUAGCGGUGAAAUGCGUAGAUAUCGGGAAGAACACCAGUGGCGAAGGCGCUCUGCUGGGCCAUAACUGACGCUCAUGGACGAAAGCCAGGGGAGCGAAAGGGAUUAGAUACCCCUGUAGUCCUGGCCGUAAACGAUGAACACUAGGUGUCGGGGGAAUCGACCCCCUCGGUGUCGUAGCCAACGCGUUAAGUGUUCCGCCUGGGGAGUACGCACGCAAGUGUGAAACUCAAAGGAAUUGACGGGGGCCCGCACAAGCGGUGGAGUAUGUGGUUUAAUUCGAUGCAACGCGAAGAACCUUACCAGGGUUUGACAUCCUGCGAAUCUCUUGGAAACGAGAGAGUGCCUUCGGGAACGCAGUGACAGGUGGUGC